GGAGGCCAUGAUGGAGGAGCACCAGCCUUUUAUAUCACAAGGGGCCAUCCACAAAAACAAUAUAUUCUUUUUCCCGAAUGAGCCACCAAGGAUGGACAGGAAGGAGAUCAGCAGAAGAAUAUUAGACCUCACCUUGGAGAUCAUCUCCCUGCUGAGCGGAGAGGAGUACACAAUAGUGAUGAAAACAUCGG